AGAGUUUGAUCCUGGCUCAGGAUGAACGCUGGCGGCGUGCCUAAUACAUGCAAGUCGAGCGAACCACUUCGGUGGGAAGCGGCGAACGGGGUGAGUAACACGUAGGUGAUCUGCCCAUCAGACGGGGACAACGAUUGGAAACGAUCGCUAAUACCGGAUAGGACGAAAGUUUAAAGAUGCUCCUGGCAUCAUUGAUGGAUGAGCCUGCGGCGCAUUAGCUAGUUGGUGGGGUAAAGGCCUACCAAGGCGACGAUGCGUAGCCGACCUGAGAGGGUGAACGGCCACACUGGGACUGAGACACGGCCCAGACUCCUACGGGAGGCAGCAGUAGGGAAUCUUCGGCAAUGGGCGAAAGCCUGGCCGAGCAACGCCGCGUGAAUGAAGAAGGCCUUCGGGUUGUAAAAUUCUGUUAUAAGGGAAGAAAGGUGAUAGGAGGAAAUGACUAUCAAUUGACGGUACCUUAUGAGAAAGCCACGGCUAACUACGUG
rnacentral:rRNA from 1 species